rnacentral:rRNA from 1 species
AUUGAACGCUGGCGGCAGGCCUAACACAUGCAAGUCGAACGGUAACAGGAAACAGCUUGCUGUUUCGCUGACGAGUGGCGGACGGGCGAGUAAUGUCUGGGAAACUGCCUGAUGGAGGGGGAUAACUACUGGAAACGGUAGCUAAUACCGCAUAACGUCGCAAGACCAAAGAGGGGGACCUUCUGGCCUCUUGACCUCGGAUGUGCCCAGAUGGGAUUAGCUAGUAGGUGGGGUAACGGCUCACCUAGGCGACGAUCCCUAGCUGGUCUGAGAGGAUGACCAGCCACACUGGAACUGAGACACGGUCCAGACUCCUACGGGAGGCAGCAGUGGGGAAUAUUGCACAAUGGGCGCAAGCCUGAUGCAGCCAUGUCGCGUGUAUGAAGAAGGCCUUCGGGUUGUAAAGUACUUUCAGCGGGGAGGAAGGGAGUAAAGUUAAUACCUUUGCUCAUUGACGUUACCCGCAGAAGAAGCACCGGCUAACUCCGUGCCAGCCGCCGCCGUAA